CUGAAAUUCUAGAUAAACUAUUCCCUG
rnacentral:tRNA from 2 species